rnacentral:lncRNA from 1 species
AGAGUAGUCUUACUGCCUUCAACGAUAGGAGUUCGAGAAUCAAAAUAGUAUAUUAAAAUAUAUAUUUUCAUAUCGACAUAUAUAUUUUUAUAUCAAAAUUUAUUAAUAAUAUUUUAUUUUUUUAUUACAGAAUGCGGGAGCAUCCGGCUCUCAUCCAUUAGUUACUAGAGAGGAUGCACAGGAGCAGAAGGAGGAUGGGAGGA